rnacentral:rRNA from 1 species
AGGACGAACGCUGGCGGCGUGCUUAACACAUGCAAGUGGAGCGACGAACCAGGGCUUGCCCUGGGGCAGAGCCGCGAACGGGUGAGUAACACGUGGGUUACCUGCCUUGAUGACCGGGACAACCCGAGGAAACUCGGGCUAAUACCGGAUGUGCCCGCAAGGGGAAAGGAAGCUUCGGCCUCCGCAUCAAGAUGGGCCCGCGGCCCAUUAGCUUGUUGGUGAGGUAACGGCUCACCAAGGCUUCGAUGGGUAGCUGGUCUGAGAGGACGAUCAGCCACACUGGGACUGAGACACGGCCCAGACUCCUACGGGAGGCAGCAGUUAGGAAUUUUCCGCAAUGGGCGAAAGCCUGACGGAGCAACGCCGCGUGAGUGAUGAAGACCUUAGGGUUGUAAACUCCUUUCGAUCGGGACGAUAAUGACGGUACCGAGAGAAGAAGCCCGGCUAACUUCGUGCCAGCAGCCGC